CAUGGACCUCGUCCCGCCAGGGCGCCGGGGUUUCUCUGCAGGCCUUGGGGCUGGCUUGCACCGCUUGGAGCAACACAGCGGGCACGCUUGGGGCCACGUGCUGAGGGAGGGCACGGCACUCGCAUGCCUGCGGCUGUCCGUAGAUGCUGCUGGCAGUUAUGGACCGAGGCAGUCGUCGAUGUACCGGACCGAGCCAAGUUUCCUUCGCUCCCGGUGAAACUCCAGCUGGCAGCUGGGUAAUCGCCUCUACCUGGAGACCAGGAAGCAUUGGAAGCGAGCGUGGGAGGGAAACACACUAACGAGGCCUGGCCGUAAAGUUGCCGGGACGAGUCUUUAAGGACAUCAGCAAUAUAGCAAUCGUCAAAUUUACAGAGACAUUCUGCUGCUCUGCGCCGCUGACAAGGAUGCAACGAAUUGAAAUGGAUGCCUGCCCUUUAUAUUAAUUUGAAGGCAUUCAUUUGGCACUGGCAGCGGAUGUUCUUAUCAAGCUGCGAGGGAGAUUUGUUAGCACAAGAGAAGAAGUGUUGCACGUUGUCAGAGUCCCAGGCUGCCCUGCCCUUGGACAAAGACUAAGAAAGCCAGCGUCUGUGCCUCCGCCACGUGUCCUCUUCACCUUGAUGCCGGUGACGGUGCACUUCUACAAGGAGAGAGAGAACAGUGAGUUCUGCGCGACUUCCCUGCAUUUCCAUCCCCUCGCUGCUCUGUUGUCCUCAACAGAGAGAGGGCUCCUGAGAGAUGUACAUCUCAUAUUCAGAGUGAACAAUAAA